rnacentral:rRNA from 1 species
GAUGAACGCUGGCGGCGUGCCUAAUACAUGCAAGUCGAGCGAACAGACGAGGAGCUUGCUCCUCUGACGUUAGCGGCGGACGGGUGAGUAACACGUGGAUAACCUACCUAUAAGACUGGGAUAACUUCGGGAAACCGGAGCUAAUACCGGAUAACAUGUUGAACCGCAUGGUUCAACAGUGAAAGACGUUCUUGCUGUCACUUAUAGAUGGAUCCGCGCCGCAUUAGCUAGUUGGUAAGGUAACGGCUUACCAAGGCAACGAUGCGUAGCCGACCUGAGAGGGUGAUCGGCCACACUGGAACUGAGACACGGUCAAGACUCCUACGGGAGGCAGCAGUAGGGAAUCUUCCGCAAUGGGCGAAAGCCUGACGGAACAACGCCGCGUGAGUGAAGAAGGUCUUCGGAUCGUAAAACUCUGUUAUUAGGGAAGAACAAAUGUGUAAGUAACUAUGCACGUCUUGACGGUACCUAAUCAGAAAGCCACGGCUAACUACGUG